rnacentral:misc_RNA from 1 species
UCUCCGUAGGUGAACCUGCGGAGGGAUCAUUACCGAGUGAGGGUCCUUGUGGCCCGACCUCCAACCCCCUGUCUUCCGACUCUGUUGCCUCGGGGGUGACCCGCGCGUCUCCGGCGCCGGGGCCCCCGGUGGACCAACCCACAACACUGCAUCUUUGCGUCGGAUAUCAAUGAAAAUGAAUAAAAACUUUCAACAACGGAUCUCUUGGUUCUGGCAUCGAUGAAGAACGCAGC